CCUAAUGGAAGACCUUAGCAGUGACAGUGCCGAGGGAAAGGCCCAUCUUUCCCCAAGGCCUCAGGUAAUGCCUGACACUUGUGCAAGAACCCAGGAAAAAACUAUUCUUGAAUGGUCAGGUCAGGCCAGCAAAUACUGUGCAAGGAAUAGGCAGUGGAGGAGAGAGGUUGGCUUGUGGAGAACAUCAAGGACUCCAGCAGUGAGGUGGAAGACUCUCCAGGUGCUUAGUGAGAGCGAGAGUACUCUGGAUCAACUUCAUGAAGAAAUUUCCAUAAUACCUUCCUUUGACUCAUCAGUGGAUUGGACCUUAUUGUGGGGCCAGAAGUGACCUUGUCCAGUCUGUCUAUUGAUGACAGGUGAUUUUCCCGAGUUGGCUGGCACAUCAUUGUCUGUGUCGUCUGGCAUAAGCCUGAGCAACAGGUAACAGAGGAGAGGGCUGUUGACAACCUUCAGGCUGAAGACCAGAGAAAAAUUCGUCAUACUUUAUACAUGGUUCAGUCCUCUGACCACUUCUUCCUCAGCUGCGCAGCAGAGACUUGUGGAUCAGAGUAGGAGUUAUGAAGAUGGUACAGUAUAUGCGUGCACUUAAAACCCCCAACAGACAGGUUUUAUGGGAAAAUAUAUUUCUUUAGCUGAGACACUAGAGAAACACCAUACAGCAGAGUGAGCAUAUGUGAUUGCCUAGGUUCACACUCCACUUCAGAGGACCAUGUCCCCCAGAGAUUAUGGGGACACCCCUGUACCUCAGUUCCCUCAUCUAGGAUGUGGAAAUGAGGCAACAAUUUAUUUGGCCCAAGUAAAGCCAUAAGAAAGGAAAGAACAGGUGUUUGACCAUUGCUCUGUAAGUGUUCAGCUAUUGAAUGAUUAGAGAAUGAGCUGGACACUUGGUAAUGGGUGAUGCCAGAUAGGGAAGUUGGAUGGCUCCACAGCAAGGGAAGAUGGAAACUUACUCCUUAGCCUUUACAUGGGACUGAUAUGUCACAGCUCAUGGGGAAUAUGUACUAUUGUCUGAUGUGAUCUCACAUCAGCAUUGUUAAUGUGGCGGCAAGCAGGGAUCCUCACCCAUGUUUUACAGUGAAGCUGCUGGAAAAUUCAUCAGAAUUAUUGAAAAUUAGGGAAGUUAAAAUGGAAGGAGCAGAAGAAAAUUUCCCAGAGUAGCCACAGUGAUGAAUGAUGGAUCUGGAGCAGGAAUGUAGUUAGAUCCAGGGCAUGGGUAUCCCUGACCACCUGAGACCUGCCUAGGGCCCUUGUGAAAAUGCCCUAGACCCCUGAAUCAUGACUCCCAUCAGUUUCUCCAAGCGUCUUGCCCCAAGCUUUCUAUUGCAUAGGGUGGGUGCCCUGGAAGAAGCGUCUGGCCAGAGAAAAAUCCAAAUCUUAACUCAGCCUUAUAACUCUAUGAAUUAGUCCCUGACUCCAGAAUGGUGUAAUGAAUUAAAUCUGUGAUUCUCAGCGACUUGCUUUUGAACUGGCAAAGGUCUGAGGGACUAGGACUAAGGCCUACCCAAGAAGGUACCUGGCUACCCUGGCUCAGUGUGCACCUACACAUCCUGCUCCUACACAUCCUGUCCUGAGUCUCAGUAUUGCUUAUCCUCUCCAAAUCACACAAUGGCAGGAAACAAGCUCCUGCCUCCUCUUAGAAGAUUCCCUCUAUAGGCACAGCCUGGAGAUCCCACCCCUGGACUCUAUUUGAGAACAUUGGGCAGAUACUCCAAAGGUCAGUUGCGAAAGAUUCAUUUCACUGAGGCAAUGAUACUGUCCCUUCUCACCAACAGUCCCCAGCAUCACUCAAACAGCCAACAAAUGUGUCCACAGUAACCCACAAAAAUCCCAUAAGAAUUUCUAGUUUCAUUCCUUAUGAAAACCCCUUGUGUUCAGACUGCUAAUAAUUGCCCUCAGACUCUGACAUGUACAUUGAGGAAGACUUGACCGGUAAUUCUCUAAUUCUCUAAAAGUAAUGACUAUUGCUGCAGUGGCAACAUCCUCCUGAUCUGUUGAAGGCAGUGUGGUGUGUUUCUGUGUGUUUUCUCUUUAAGAGUGUGUUCAACACUGGUAAUUGGAAAUAGAACAUUUUCCUAAAUAUCAGAAGAAAGUAAAAGCAGUCAGCUUGAUAGAAGAAUGACAUCUGUACAAUAAUAUGAAAAUUAUAAUAUACAUUUAGAUAACCCCAUAGACCACUGGGAGGGCGCAAAUUAAAAAAAAAAAAGUUAAGUGUAACAGUGAGAGUUACCUAGUUCAUUUGACGGAACAACCCUUAGAACAUGAAUAUUUACUUACCUGUAGAACAACAAUUCAGAUUUCCCAUUGUGGGGAGCCUCUUCACCUAUUCCUACUAAGCUUCCUCUCAGGACAGAGCGUGACAGUUGAAGGGUUCAGGAUAUAUCAUCACAUUCCCAUGUACAGUUUUCCAAGUGAUUGUGCCUCUACACAGCAUGGGUCCAGGUGCUGUGUUCAGUGUCUGUCUCCAUAGGCAUGUGUGGCCUUAGGAGGACAGAUUUGUUUCACAAACUGAUCCCAGGAUCACACAGUGUUAUUCUGUUUAACAAAUUCUGUGAGAGAAAAUAUCCUGCAAGCCAAACAGAGCUGACAGAAAAUUUCUGUGAUUCAGGGAAUAAAGCUAUCAUGUGGUGAAUAAAGAGAAGCUUCCUUCUUGGUCUAAAACACCAUCUCCAUUUCUACUACUGAGCUACCAGACAUUUCUAGAACAAACAAUGAAAAUUACUUGCAGAGGAAGAAAAUAAGCAAUAGUAGAAUAUUGAGUUUCAAAUGUCAUAUAUUCUUUGUCUCAGCAUGUGAUUUUUGAAUUAUAUAUA